ensembl:snRNA U2 U2 spliceosomal RNA
ACUGCUUCUCAGACUUUUGACUAAGAUCAAGUGUAGUAUCUGUUCUUACCAGUUUAGUAUCUGAUAUAUCCUCUAUCCAAAGACAAUAUAGUAUAUGGAUUUUUGGAGCAGGGACAGGGAAUAGGAACUUGUUCUAUCCAUCCAUACAUCGACCUGGUAUUGCAGUACCUCCAGGAACAAUGCACCUCCC